UACGUAGGGUGCAAGCGUUAAUCGGAAUUACUGGGCGUAAAGCGUGCGCAGGCGGCUUUGCAAGACAGAUGUGAAAUCCCCGGGCUCAACCUGGGAACUGCAUUUGUGACUGCAUGGCUAGAGUACGGUAGAGGGGGGAUGGAAUUCCGCGUGUAGCAGCGAAAUGCGUAGAUAUGCGGAGGAACACCGAUGGCGAAGGCAAUCCCCCUGGACCUGUACUGACGCUCAUGCACGAAAAGCGUGGGGGAGCAAACAGG
rnacentral:rRNA from 1 species